AUCCAGGUGAAGAAUCCCAAAUAGGACGAAACGCGCAUCCUGGAU
rnacentral:hammerhead_ribozyme from 1 species